rnacentral:rRNA from 1 species
CCUACGGGUGGCAGCAGUGGGGAAUAUUGCGCAAUGGGGGCAACCCUGCCGCAGCAACGCCGCGUGAUUGAAGAAGGCCUUCGGGUUGUAAAGAUCUUUAAUCAGGGACGAAAAAUGACGGUACCUGAAGAAUAAGCCCCGGCUAUCUACGUGCCAGCAGCCGCGGUAAUACGUAGGGGGCAAGCGUUAUCCGGAUUUACUGGGUGUAAAGGGAGCGUAGACGGCAGCGCAAGUCUGAAGUGAAAUCCCAUGGCUUAACCAUGGAACUGCUUUGGAAAAUGUGCAGCUGGAGUGCAGGAGAGGUAAGCGGAAUUCCUAGUGUAGCGGUGAAAUGCGUAGAUAUUAGGAGGAACACCAGUGGCGAAGGCGGCUUACUGGACUGUAACUGACGUUGAGGCUCGAAAGCGUGGGGAGCAAACAGGAUUAGAUACCCUUGUAGUC